AAGGCAAUCAGCCAAGCUUUUCUAAUGGCAUACAAGUGUAAAUCAUAAAGUCAACUGUAUUCAACAUAAUUUACAUUCCAAAGUCGACAUCGACCAAUCACUAUAGGUAAGAAGACAUUAUAGUUUACCUCAGUUCCAGUGGCAAACUUAUCAAACUCGAAAACUCCCAUGGGACCAUUCCAAAUAAUGGUCUUGGUUGUAUCUAGUGCAUCGUUGAAUGUCUUAACUGAAUCUGGUCCGACAUCCAACCCCAUCCAACCAUCAGGAAUUUCAGAUGCCGGCACAACCUGCAAAAAUGAUCUUUUUUAGUUAUUCUUGUUUUUUUUUCAUUAAUAAAAUAUAGUUGAUGUGCUUGCCUUAUUAUCCACAAUCCAUUAUAAAUGGGAACCAUCAGUUUAGACUAUUUUGAAAGGGCCACUAGAUGUACAAUAAAUAGUGAUGUCAUUAAAGUCAGAAUUUUGGAUCUAUAAAUAGAGGCAUUAAAUUAGCAAACCUUGCUCUGUGCAUCAGGUGCAAAUUUAUCGGCAAUAACAACAUCAGUUGGCAACAAAAGAGACACGCCCUUAGCUUUGGCUUUUGCGAGAAGUGAUGUCGCAAGCUCAAGUUUGUCAUCCUC
rnacentral:lncRNA from 1 species